AGUGAACGCUGGCGGCAGGCCUAAUACAUGCAAGUCGAACGGUAACGGGUCCUUCGGGAUGCCGACGAGUGGCGAACGGGUGAGUAAUAUAUCGGUACGUGCCCAGUAGUGGGGGAUAACUGCUCGAAAGAGCAGCUAAUACCGCAUACGACCUGAGGGUGAAAGGGGGGGAUCGCAAGACCUCUCGCUAUUGGAGCGGCCGAUAUCAGAUUAGCUAGUUGGUGGGGUAAAGGCCUACCAAGGCAACGAUCUGUAGUUGGGCUGAGAGGACGACCAGCCACACUGGGACUGAGACACGGCCCAGACUCCUACGGGAGGCAGCAGUGGGGAAUUUUGGACAAUGGGCGCAAGCCUGAUCCAGCAAUGCCGCGUGCAGGAAGAAGGCCUUCGGGUUGUAAACUGCUUUUGUCAGGGAAGAAAUCUUCUGGGCUAAUACCCCGGGAGGAUGACGGUACCUGAAGAAUAAGCACCAGCUAACUACGUGCCAGCCGCCGCCGUAAAAC
rnacentral:rRNA from 1 species